GAUGAACGCUGGCGGCGUGCCUAAUACAUGCAAGUCGAGCGAACGGACGAGAAGCUUGCUUCUCUGAUGUUAGCGGCGGACGGGUGAGUAACACGUGGAUAACCUACCUAUAAGACUGGGAUAACUUCGGGAAACCGGAGCUAAUACCGGAUAAUAUUUUGAACCGCAUGGUUCAAAAGUGAAAGACGGUCUUGCUGUCACUUAUAGAUGGAUCCGCGCUGCAUUAGCUAGUUGGUAAGGUAACGGCUUACCAAGGCAACGAUGCAUAGCCGACCUGAGAGGGUGAUCGACCACACUGGAACUGAGACACGGUCCAGACUCCUACGGGAGGCAGCAGUAGGGAAUCUUCCGCAAUGGGCGAAAGCCUGACGGAGCAACGCCGCGUGAGUGAUCAAGGUCUUCGGAUCGUAAAACUCUGUUAUUAGGGAAGAACAUAUGUGUAAGUAACUGUGCACAUCUUGACGGUACCUAAUCAGAAAGCCACGGCUAACUACGUG
rnacentral:rRNA from 1 species